rnacentral:rRNA from 1 species
UACGUAGGGGGCAAGCGUUGUCCGGAUUCAUUGGGCGUAAAGAGCGUGUAGGCGGCCAGGUAGGUCGGUUGUGAAAACUGGAGGCUCAACCUUCAGACGUCGACCGAAACCAUCUGGCUAGAGUCCGGGAGAGGAGAGUGGAAUUCCUGGUGUAGCGGUGAAAUGCGCAGAUAUCAGGAGGAACACCGGUGGCGAAGGCGGCUUGCUGGGCCUUACCUGACGCUGAGGAGCGAAAGCGUGGGGAGCGAACAGG